GAUGAACGCUGCGGCGUGCUUCACACAUGCAAGUCGAACGGAAAGGCCCAAGCUUGCUUGGGUACUCGAGUGGCGAACGGGUGAGUAACACGUGGGUGAUCUGCCCCGCACUUCGGGAUAAGCCUGGGAAACUGGGUCUAAUACCGGAUAGGACAGUGGUUUGGAUGCCAUUGUGGAAAGUUUUUUCGGUGUGGGAUGAGCUCGCGGCCUAUCAGCUUGUUGGUGGGGUAAUGGCCUACCAAGGCGUCGACGGGUAGCCGGCCUGAGAGGGUGUACGGCCACAUUGGGACUGAGAUACGGCCCAGACUCCUACGGGAGGCAGCAGUGGGGAAUAUUGCACAAUGGGCGCAAGCCUGAUGCAGCGACGCCGCGUGGGGGAUGACGGCCUUCGGGUUGUAAACUCCUUUCGCUAGGGACGAAGCGUUAUGUGACGGUACCUAGAGAAGAAGCACCGGCUAACUACGUG
rnacentral:rRNA from 1 species